rfam:Branchiostoma floridae genomic scaffold BRAFLscaffold_316, whole genome shotgun sequence.
ACCCCGGCCCUUUUCAGGGCCACCCACGUCCUUUCGAAAGACCUGU